GACGAACGCUGGCGGCGUGCUUAACACAUGCAAGUCGAACGGAAAGGCCCUGCUUUUGUGGGGUGCUCGAGUGGCGAACGGGUGAGUAACACGUGAGUAACCUGCCCUUGACUUUGGGAUAACUUCAGGAAACUGGGGCUAAUACCGGAUAGGAGCUCCUGCUGCAUGGUGGGGGUUGGAAAGUUUCGGCGGUUGGGGAUGGACUCGCGGCUUAUCAGCUUGUUGGUGGGGUAGUGGCUUACCCAGGCUUUGACGGGUAGCCGGCCUGAGAGGGUGACCGGCCACGUUGGGACUGAGAUACGGCCCAGACUCCUACGGGAGGCAGCAGUGGGGAAUAUUGCACAAUGGGCGGAAGCCUGAUGCAGCAACGCCGCGUGCGGGAUGACGGCCUUCGGGUUGUAAACCGCUUUCGCCUGUGACGAAGCGUGAGUGACGGUAAUGGGUAAAGAAGCACCGGCUAACUACGUG
rnacentral:rRNA from 1 species